AGCUUUGCGCAGUGGCAGUAUCGUAGCCGAUGAUGUUUACCCGAGGCAUGAUUAUUGCUUAUUGAAAACUUUUCCCAAUACCCCACUAUGAUGAGCAAUGGCAAUUUUUACAGUCUCUGCAGAGA